UACUUCUCUUUGAAAAUGUCUUUGAAAUGU
rnacentral:piRNA from 1 species